rnacentral:tRNA from 1 species
GCCAGCGUGGCGGAAUUGGCAGACGCGCUAGACUCAAAAUCUGGUACUCGAAAGAGUGUGUGGGUUCGACCCCCUCCGCUGGCACCA